AGAGUUUGAUCAUGGCUCAGAUUGAACGCUGGCGGCGCGCUUAACACAUGCAAGUCGAGCGAGAAAGCGGGGCAACCCGUGAGUACAGCGGCGUACGGGUGAGUAACACGUGGGUAAUCUACCUCCGAGUGGGGAAUAACCCUGGGAAACCGGGGCUAAUACCGCAUAAGCCUGGGAAGGGAAAGCAGCAAUGCGCUGGGAGAGGAGCCCGCGGCCGAUUAGCUAGUUGGUGAGGUAAGAGCUCACCAAGGCGACGAUCGGUAGCCGGCCUGAGAGGGCACACGGCCACACUGGCACUGAAACACGGGCCAGACUCCUACGGGAGGCAGCAGUGGGGAAUCUUGCACAAUGGGGGCAACCCUGAUGCAGCGACGCCGCGUGAGCGAUGAAGCCCUUCGGGGUGUAAAGCUCUUUCGGCAGGGACGAUAAUGACGGUACCUGCAGAAGCAGCUGCGGCUAACUACGUGCCAGCAGCCGCGGUAAUACGUAGGCAGCGAGCGUUGUUCGGAGUUACUGGGCGUAAAGGGUGCGUAGGCGGCCGAUUAAGUUUGUCGUGAAAUCUCCCGGCUCAACUGGGAGGGUGCGGCGAAUACUGACCGGCUCGAGUGUGGGAGAGGAGAGUGGAAUUCCUGGUGUAGCGGUGAAAUGCGUAGAUAUCAGGAGGAACACCGGCGGUGUAGACGGCUCUCUGGACCAUAACUGACGCUGAGGCACGAAAGCGUGGGUAGCAAACAGGAUUAGAUACCCUGGUAGUCCACGCCCUAAACGAUGCACAUUUGGUGUGGGCAGUUCAUUCUGUC
rnacentral:rRNA from 1 species